ACUAUUAAAGAACACAUUUGGAAUUAUGUAGUAAACAAAGCUGCCAUCAAGGAAGAGGAUGCUACUUUAAAGAAUCUAAAAUAGAAAAAACAUUCUGGUUUGUUGAAGGGCUGUUUGUGGUCUGCAGGGAUGUUUAGAUGUCAAAGUAACAUCCACAUGAAUGCAGGACUCAAGACUUCCCAACAAAACUUUAUCCAGAGCAUCAAACUACUUCUGCUGACCGACCGACCAAUCCAUCCACCUACCUCCCUCCAUCCCUCAUUCUAAAGUUUGGGGUCACCCUGACAAUUUCAUGUUUUCCAUGAAAACUCACAUUUAUUCAUGUGCUAGCAUAACUGAACAAGGGUUUUCUAAUCAUCAGUUACCCUUUCAACACCAUUAGCUAACACAAUGUAGCAUUAGAACACAGGAGUGAUGGUUGCUGGAAAUGUUCCUCUGUACCCCUAUGGAGAUAUUCCAUUAAAAAUCAAACGUUUCCAGCUAGAAUAGUCAUUUACCACAUUAACAAUGUAUUCACUGGAUUUCUGAUUAAUUUAAUAUUAUUUUCAAUUUAAAAACUGCUCUUCUUUCACAAAAUAAGGAUAUUUCUAAUUGACCCCGAACUUUUGAACAAUAGUUUAUAUUUUUUAUUUUAUUUAUUUAUUUUAUUUUUACAUUUUUGAUUUGUUGCUCUUCUUCUUUGUACAGUUAUCAUUCUCUUUCUUUAUUCCUAGGGUAACACCAUCGACCUAAUCUGUAUUCCUUGUAUGUUGUGUGGCCAUUACAGGUGAUUCUGAUUCUGAAAUAUCUCCCUGCUGUUAUGCACUUCCUGUUCCAUCCACAGGGAGGCGCUGCAGGCUGCAGCAGAGACUCAAGAUACAGUAAACAUCAGCUUACAACACAUUACAGGGUUACAUCAUGUGUGUUGUUACAGCAGCUGCUUCACUGAACAGAACAACCAUGAAUGUGUGCUUAAAGCCUGCAGAGCUCAAACUGGAGCUGCUGGUUCCUUCCAGGUCCUGAGGAAUCUUCUCAGGCGGAUGGACAGGUUUUUCUGUGCAUUGUGGCGGGGAACUUUUUUUCUGUCCCCCUCCUCUCUCUCUCUCUCUCUCUCUCUCUCUCUCUGCCUGUCAUGGAGGCCGAGUUAUGUAAGAGGGGAGAGUCGUACCGCCGCCCCUCUCUGUUUUUGUUUUUCUCAAUGAGCCAAUGUCUCCCUGUCGAGGCCUCACAGCCUGUCCAGUAGGCCCCUUUCCUGGAAACAGAGCCUAGCAGAGGCCACUGAGGGGCAGGCCUGCAGGCUGGAGGAGGAGGAGGUGGAGGGGCUCUUCCAGCAAAUCACAUGACGGUGGACCCUCCAGUCAGAACUCCAUCAGGCUCAGAGGCUCGGUUCAGCAGCCAGUCUGUCAGCAGCAUGACUGGAUGCAGCUAAAGCAUGAGGCUGGAAGGAGACGCUCCCUGGUGUGAAAUGUAGAAGAAGAACCACAAACCUGAUGGACAGAGAGAGAGAGAGUGGAUUUUGGCGGGUACAAAGGCAGAAACCCCCCUGAGCCAAGCCAGGGCCUCCUUAACAGCAGCUGACCCCUCUGCUCCUUCUUCUGUCUCCUCAGAGGAAUGCGACGCUGCCAGAAGACGAAGGGGGCACCAGAAAGCAGGCAGAGAUAAUGAAUUUCUGGAUGAUUUAGUAAACAGUGGCAGUAAACCGCGUGACAUUUUCCAGCUGUGCGACCCAUACACUCUCCCUGUAUAUAUUUUUACACUGAUCUGUCAGCGCCGCCUUAAAAUGUCCGACAGCAGGAAUGCAAACAGCCAGGCCACUCUUGUUUAUGUCUUGCAUUGUGGCCACUGUGGGCAAAGCCUGAACUUGUGGACCCACAUGUGUUCAGGAAUGGUAGUUAUUCUGUCAUUAACAAGUUUAUUUUUGUGGUUUAAUUCACUUUUCUGCACUUUUAUCAGUCACGUAUUGUGAUCUACAGGAUUUACAUGUGCAGUUAAAUACUACAAAUAUCUACUGUUGCUUAACUUCACACCUUGGGAUCACUUUAAUUUAACAAAGGAGGCUCUGCAGAACCUGUAAAUGUAAAUAUGUGGUUAUGACCGGGCUGCCUAACAUCGUGUUGAAGCUGCCUUUGUUCAUUUGAACAAAUGUUGCAGCUUUAAUUCACCUAAAACAGCAUCAACUGCAGCUGUUUGUGAGGUUUUCUUGUAGGUAAAAACUGCAUUUGGUUGCAAAUGGUUGUAUUAAAAAUGUUGUGUCUUCA